GAUGAACGCUGGCGGCGUGCCUAAUACAUGCAAGUCGAGCGAACAGAUAAGGAGCUUGCUCCUUUGACGUUAGCGGCGGACGGGUGAGUAACGCGUGGGUAACCUACCUAUAAGACUGGAAUAACUCCGGGAAACCGGGGCUAAUGCCGGAUAACAUUUAGAACCGCAUGGUUCUAAAGUGAAAGAUGGUUUUGCUAUCACUUAUAGAUGGACCCGCGCCGUAUUAGCUAGUCGGUAAGGUAACGGCUUACCAAGGCAACGAUACGUAGCCGACCUGAGAGGGUGAUCGGCCACACUGGAACUGAGACACGGUCCAGACUCCUACGGGAGGCAGCAGUAGGGAAUCUUCCGCAAUGGGCGAAAGCCUGACGGAGCAACGCCGCGUGAGUGAUGAAGGUCUUCGGAUCGUAAAACUCUGUUAUUAGGGAAGAACAAAUGUGUAAGUAACUGUGCACGUCUUGACGGUACCUAAUCAGAAAGCCACGGCUAACUACGUG
rnacentral:rRNA from 1 species